CGUGAGACUUCAUGAUCUGCCUAUACCUUCUGUAGGAAGGGAAGAGUCCAUGUACGAUGUGGAUACUGUCUAUAGGAUACCCACACGCUUACUUGAGAGGGUUGAUGAAAAAGAUGAAGACAAUGGUUAUGAUACAGACUUCACUGGUCAUCACCAUGGUUCGUUGCUGAAAGUGGGAAGGAUCAGGAAUGCGUACUUGGCUGAGAUUGCACGGGAUCCAUACCUAAGUCUACAGAAGUUCACAGCCAUUAUAGAGAGGUUACCUAAUUACGCACGUAUGUAAUAACUUUAAAAUAUAACUAUACACAUGUUUAUUAUUUCAAUCCAAGUUUUAUAUGUGUUUAUUUGAAAUGAUGGCUUGAGGUUAUUUUUUAUGAGUGUUUGAUCUGCGUGGACUUUUGCAGAUAAGCAUUCGAGCAAUAGAUGGCUCCUAAACUUUUACAUAGCUGAUUUUGGCAAACACGUGUUUUUUUUUUUUUUUUUUUUUUUUUAGUGAAAGUGACUGAUUGUCAUUCACUCGUUGGUUUUGAGGUCUGAUCGAGUAAAACUGGCAGUUGCUCGAUCAUUAGAUACGUUUCUCAAGAGUAGUAUCUUCGGAGAUGCAUGAAGUUCCAUGCUCUGGGAACAGGUUCGCCAGCCGAUGUCUCGAAGUUUCCAGAGUGUCGACCGAUAUUCACCGUGGUUUGUCGAUCGACGUUCGUUCUUUCUUGUCGAUCAAUUUUGACAUCUUCUCCAAAUUCUCCUUCUUCCUCCUCAAGGUCGAUGGCCUCUUUCUCAGUUCUCGAGGUAUUUCUGACUCGGUGUUGGGAUCAUCGAGGAUUAUAGGGCGUGACCUAUUUUCAUCGGCUUCCUCAACUACAACAUGUUUCUCUGUGUUGUUGAUUUCUAUUGUGCUUGGAAUGAGGCAUUUUCCGCUUCUCAAUAACACGACAUUAACUUGACAUUUCAGGUUCGCGUCAGUGCGCCCAGGGAGACGUCAUGUCUCUCUUUUGAUGGCGGUUUCAUUUUCCGCGACCCGACUGUCCAGUCUCUUAAUGUGUUCACUCAAAGUGUCAAACUUCCGCAUCAGCUCACUAAAGAUUAAGUCUUAUCUUUCCGUUCAGGUCAGUGGCCAAUUUGCGAUUUCCCGUGAAAGCUUGGUUUAGCCUAAAUUUCGCUCUGCCUCGGCGUGAUCAAACAGUAGCAUCAUAAUUUUGGGUAAAGCUAUCGGGGUUAGGAUACUUAUUUUCCAAGGUUUGCCUAUCUACGAAAUCUAUUUGCUGUUCUAGCUCAGAUAGGGUAUCAUCAUCAAUUUGGUAAAUUCCAAAUUGGUUCUGUCUUUCAAAAGCAGGAUGGGGUGAGUCUAGAUGUUCUUUAAUUUCGAGUAAAGGUGACUCAUCAACUGAGUCAACUUUCCUUCCUAACUCUACGUCCAUCAUUUCGUAGGAUCUUCCUGUAGCUAUAUUCUUGGUCAAACGCUUCGCUUCUUCAGGGUUUUUGGUACUGAAGUUCCCUUCACUGGCUAUGUCGAGCGUAAUUUGGUAAUGAAGCUUAAUACCUCCAUAAAGGUAUUAAUGAGUUGUGGCUCUGAAUAGCCAUGGUGGGGGCAUUCAAGUUGGUAGCUCUUGAAUCUCUCCCAUGCGUUUCUGAACGAUUCCUGUGGACCUUGACAGAAUGUGGAGAUUUUCUUCCUUACAUCCUAGGAGUGCGCCUCAUCGAAGAAUUGAUUGAUAAAGGCACUCCUUAUCUCCUUUCAACAGGUCAAAGAUCUUGUUGGUAUUUGGUCUAGCCAUUUUCUGGCGUCGCCUUCUAAGGAAAAUGGAAAGAGUUUACAUCGAUUGUAUUCAUCAUCCAUCAACUCUUCUAGAUACUUGGUGUGAUCGUGCAGUCGCUAUGAGAUGGUCCCAUGGAAAGGGUUUUGACGUACCAUAAUUAAGUAUUCGGGACUGAUCCCGGAUUUCUUGGUAUCAUCUUUUGGUAGUCUAAUUGCGGACCUAUUGGAAUAGGUUCUUCCAGGGUUUAAGUUGUCUUGCAAAGGCAAUUUCCACUCAUUAUCUCUUUCUGAGAGAUUUAAUUUGAAGAGGGAUUUCAGUCCCCUGUUCAUUCAUGAUUUGGUUGUUUGCGUUGCUUAGUUGACUUUCAGGUUCUCCUAGGACUACUCCCUCAUUAGCAUCAUUGGUAAGAGAAAACUUACCUGCUUCCGGCGGGGUGUUGUCGAUCGAUGUUUGAUGUUCGACUUCGACCGAUAUUGCUGCCGACUUGUCGCUCGAUAUUGCUCUCACUUUGUCGAUCGAUGUCCGGCCGAAAUCCAUGUUUUCCAUCUUGAAGCUCCUGUGUCAGCAAGAAAAGAGAGAAAUUUUUUAGCAAAUUUAGCAACAAAAUCUAUAUUAAAUUCUAAACGUAAUCUAAUGGUAAUAAGAAAGAGUCCCCGGCAACGGCGCCAAAUUUGAUAUCACUCAAAUUAUCCUAAGAACUCAAGUAAGAGGUUCAGAUGUAGUACUUAGGGAUCGAAUCCACAUAGACUCUAGUAUUACACAAUAGAUUAUGGUCUUUAAAUAAAUCUAGAUUGAAUGGUUUAUAAGUUUUAAAAGCAGUAAAUGGAUUGGUGAGCAAAUUUAUUGCUCGAUUGAUUGUUUUGAGGUUGUUAACAGUUGGUUGAAGUAGCUAGAUUCAGGUAUAUUCUCAGGUAUGAUAAGUAAAACUUAACUUGGGAAAUUAGGGGUUUAUUAAUUGUUCUUGAAUUCAAAUUAAGAUAUAAUCUAUUUGAUCAUCUAAUCUGGUUCUCGGAUCUCAACUCUCGUAUGUUAAUCACGAGAAAGUGUCGAUCGAUAAUUGUUUGUGAAUAUCGAUCGAUACAUCUUUCAAAAUAUCGAUCGACAGGGCUAUCGCUGCGUCGACGAUAUUUCUUCCAGAAAGCUUUACGGACAAAUUUCAUUUAUAUUCUCUAACUUAAUAGACCAACUCUCGUUUGUAUCUAGUCAGUUAGAUCAUUCUAGUUAUUUUCAGGCACUGAGUCAAGCAACGGCUUGAUCCCAAUUAAUCCUAAGAUCUAAGUUUAAAGGAUGAUCAAUCCUAAACUUAGCUUUAAGCACAACUAGAUGAAGGAACUAUAUUUCUAAACACCCUAGCAAUUGUUAUGUCAGUAUUACAUUUAUCAACCUAUUUGAGAAACCUAAAUCUAACAGUAAGGACUACUCAGACAUAUUCAUGAAACACAUAGUUAUGAUGGUCUGAAUAAUACUUAGAUAAAAUAAAUAGUAAAAGUAACAUAAAUAAUGAAAACAAGGGAGUUCAAGAUCUUCUCUGUUUUGCAGUAGAUGAUCUAUCUCUCCAAUCCUAAGCCCUCCUCUUUCAAUGGUGGCUUCUUGCCUCCUCCAAAUAAGGUCUAAAAAUGUCUCUAGGCAAGUCUGCCUCUAAAAUGAUACAAAACCCUAAUAAAUAGCCUAAUAAGCGGUCAGGGACUAAUGAUGUAAUUAUUAAGAUUUUUGUGAAACUUGAAAUCUUCUAAUUUGUCAUUAAUUCUUGGAUAGCUUCAUAAUCGAUCGAUGUGAGGAACCCAACAUUGAUCGAUAUUUGGUGGUAACUGUCUGUCGAUACUGAAUUGCGACCGUCGACCAUCUCUUGCUUCCAAGCAAAGCUCAAAAAAUCUUCAAAAAGCUCCAAAUACAUCAUUUUCUUCCAGAUAGUACAUGAACCUGUAAUUGCUCUAAAUAGACUCUAUAUAGUAAUAAUAUAUCUUAAAACAUUCAUAAACCAUGGUUAAAAAUGGGUAAAAUUCAUGGUCUAUCAGUAUCAUUGCUUCUCUGAUGCAUUACUCUCUAGAAUCACUAAAGGGUUUUGUUGAUCAAAUUGUCAGGAGCAAAGGGAGAUCGUUGAAGCCAUUGUAACUCUUUUGCUGAGUGACGAGAGAGGAUCAAUCAUCCCUCUCCGUUUCCUCCUUGGAAUGUUAAAGAUCAGAAUUACAAUCGAUGUAGAGAUCUCUUACAUGCAUGAGUUAUAACGUAGAACUAGACUUUGACCCGCGCGUCUGCGCGGGUAUAUUUUUCAAAAGUAUGUUUCUAUUUGUUUUUCAUGUCAAUAAUAUAAGGGUUAUGCAAAAUACCCGAAUCUGAAGAACCGAACCGAUCUGGAUCCGAAAAUGUAGUACCAAACCCAAACCGAAAUUGAGUAAAUAUCUGACUUAUUCAAAAUUUUGGUUUUUAGAGAACCAAAACUGAAUCCGAUCCGAACCGAAGUAUUUCGGGUACCCGAAUGUAUACAAAAUAGAUUUAUAUACUUAUAUGAAUUUAUUAUUUUUAUAUUUAAUAUAUAUAAAACAUCUAGAAUAUAUAUGAUACUUUUAAGUUGGUUUAAAUACUUAAAAAUAUAUACAAAUAAUCAAUAGUAAAUAUAUAAAAUAGUAAAAGUAUACUUAAAACACCAAAAAUACUUAAAAUAAUUAUUGAUUCUCUAUCCAAAUAUUUGAACUAAAGUAAUUUAUAUGUUACCUUUAGGUAUUCUGAAAUUACGCAAAUUAAUUUAUAUGUUACCUUUCGGUCACUCAAACAGACCUGAACCGAACCCGAUUAUGUACCAGAUAGAUAAUUUCUCACAAUAAAAUGGACUUCCAAAUUUUCUUAAAAGUAUAAGCCCAUUACUUUUUUUUUCUUAAUAUACUGCUAUCCAUGUUUCCAAACAAACCUAUUUUUUAAAACUACAAUUUAUGUUUCCAAUCAAACCUCAUUUUUAAAACUGCAAUCCAUAUUUCCAUACAAACUUUUUUUUAAACUACAAUCUAUCUUUCCAAACAAACUAUACAUGUUUCCAAACAAACCUAAUUUGUACUUGAGUUUUAAUAAGAUAGAUAGGUCAGCAGUUAGAGAGCGUGAGACUUCAUGAUCUGCCUAUACCUUCUGUAGGAAGGGAAGAGUCCAUGUACGAUGUGGAUACUGUCUAUAGGAUACCCACACGCUUACUUGAGAGGGUUGAUGAAAAAGAUGAAGACAAUGGUUAUGAUACAGACUUCACUGGUCAUCACCAUGGUUCGUUGCUGAAAGUGGGAAGGAUCAGGAAUGCGUACUUGGCUGAGAUUGCACGGGAUCCAUACCUAAGUCUACAGAAGUUCACAGCCAUUAUAGAGAGGUUACCUAAUUACGCACGUAUGUAAUAACUUUAAAAUAUAACUAUACACAUGUUUAUUAUUUCAAUCCAAGUUUUAUAUGUGUUUAUUUGAAAUGAUGGCUUGAGGUUAUUUUUUAUGAGUGUUUGAUCUGCGUGGACUUUUGCAGAUAAGCAUUCGAGCAAUAGAUGGCUCCUAAACUUUUACAUAGCUGAAUGCCGUCGUACGGUUUAAGACUCGAAGAUUGCCGCCUUCAAGGCCCUCACCGGGACCGUAUACACCCGUUGAACCGAGAGCCCAUAUAGAGCAAGCGGACCGAACAGCACACCACCUCUGGAGCAGCCUCAACCGAGUUAGAGAGAAGACCGAGAGCUUAACUGAAAACCUACCUCCAUCGGAACCUACUUCGAAGCCCUGCCUUCAGCUAGUAGCACGCUGGAAUUAGCACAAGGAGAGAAGCUUGGCGACGGUGGACGCCACAACGACGGGACCUCUAACUUUGAGGCGAGCAAACCACCAGUAACGAGACGAUGGCCAAAGCAACACCACGCGCUGCCACCGGAGCAACCUCAAAGCAGGAGAGAGACUCACCCACUCAAGGACUCCACGCACUUCCCCCGAAGACCACCGGAGGAGACAAAGACAGAGAGAAUCACCAGAGUUGCAAGCAACCCAGAUCUGAGACCAAGAGGCCUCCCCGACGAACCACGCGCCGCCAAACCGAAAAGCUUAACGAGAUCUAAAAAAAAAUCUCCUAGACAAAGUCGCCGGAGCAAAACUGGAAGUAGCCACAGCAAGGAGCAAACGCCGUCCUCUAGCGUCACUACCCUCACCGGGAACAACACAGAUCUACUCCAUAAACCCGGAUCUGAACCAGGAGAGAAUCUCAGAGCUUCACCUCCUCCGACACAGAGAAAAGACCACGGAGAUGACGAUGAGAAGCGGAGGAAACAGGGGGGGCUCCAGCGACCGCAAAAGGACACGGCAGCCACCGGAGCGGGGAGUAAACGCGGCGGAGGAAAGUUGAGUAGAGAGAGGGGAGUAAACACAGAGGGGAGUAAAGGGUUUUUUCUCUAUGUCGGCAAACACGUGUUCGUUCAAGUUUGCAUAUAAACUUUAGUUUUAUAAUUUUGUAUAAACCCAUGUAAGCUAUAUGGACGUUCAUCUCAAAGCUUUGUGGACCACUUAUUAAAAAUUAAAAGUAUAUGAGUUCACUAUAAUAACCCAUGUAAGAAAGCU
rnacentral:lncRNA from 1 species